UAAAGUUUAUAGAAUAUUUCAUUUACAAUGAAAAGGAUGAAAUUA
rnacentral:tRNA from 1 species